UACAGAGGUCUCAAGCGUUGUUCGGAUUCAUUGGGCGUAAAGGGUGCGUAGGCGGCGCGGUAAGUCGGGUGUGAAAUCUCGGAGCUUAACUCCGAAACUGCAUUCGAUACUGCCGUGCUUGAGGACUUGAGAGGAGACUGGAAUUUACGGUGUAGCGGUGAAAUGCGUAGAUAUCGAGAGGAACACCUGCGGCGAAGGCGGGUUGCUGGGCUGAUACUGACGCUGAGGAGCGAAAGCGUGGGGAGCGAACAGG
rnacentral:rRNA from 1 species